UGGGGAAUCUUGGACAAUGGGGGCAACCCUGAUCCAGCAAUGCCGCGUGUGGGAUGAAGGCCUUCGGGUUGUAAACCACUUUUGGCGGGGGCGAAAUAUCGAGUGCUAAUACCAUUCGGUGAUGACGGUACCCGCAGAAUAAGCACCGGCUAACUACGUGCCAGCAGCCGCGGUAAUACGUAGGGUGCAAGCGUUAAUCGGAAUUACUGGGCGUAAAGCGUGCGCAGGCGGUUAGGUAAGACAGGUGUGAAAUUCCCGGCUCAACCUGGGAACUGCAUUUGUGACUGCCUGACUAGAGUGCGGCAGAGGGGAGUGGAAUUCCGCGUGUAGCAGUGAAAUGCGUAGAUAUGCGGAGGAACACCGAUGGCGAAGGCAACUCCCUGGCCUGCACUGACGCUCAUGCACGAAAGCGUGGGGAGCAAAACGGAUUAGAUACCCUGGUAGUCCACGCCCUAAAACGAUGUCGACUAGUUGUUGGACGGGUUACUGUUCAGUAACNAAGCUAACGCGUGAAGUCGACCG
rnacentral:rRNA from 1 species